UACGUAGGGGGCUAGCGUUGCUCGGAAUUAUUGGGCGUAAAGGGCGCGUAGGCGGACAGUUUAGUCAGAGGUGAAAGCCCAGGGCUCAACCUUGGAAUUGCCUUUGAUACUGGCUGUCUUGAGUUCGGGAGAGGUGAGUGGAACUGCGAGUGUAGAGGUGAAAUUCGUAGAUAUUCGCAAGAACACCAGUGGCGAAGGCGGCUCACUGGCACGAUACUGACGCUGAGGCACGAAAGCGUGGGGAGCAAACAGG
rnacentral:rRNA from 1 species